rnacentral:rRNA from 1 species
UACGUAGGGGGGCAAGCGUUGUCCGGAAUUAUUGGGCGUAAAGAGCGUGUAGGCGGUCCGGUAAGUCAGCUGUGAAAGUCAAGGGCUCAACCCUUGAAAGCCGGUUGAUACUGUCGGGCUAGAGUCCGGAAGAGGCGAGUGGAAUUCCCGGUGUAGCGGUGAAAUGCGCAGAUAUCGGGAGGAACACCAAUGGCGAAGGCAACUCGCUGGGACGGUACUGACGCUGAGACGCGAAAGCGUGGGGAGCAAACAGG